CCUCCUAAUAAAUUGUGUUUCCAGGCCUCUUUCAGCGAUGGAAGGCUCCCUCAGAAGAACAGCCCUGCAGACAAAUGGCCACCUCUAGUUUUGCAUGGCGGCACAACAAAACUCUCUAUGUCUCUUUCGUGUUGUCCAUCUUCGCUGCUGCAAAUGCAUUCUAUGGAUACGAGCUUUUGAGGAGGGCUCGAGAGCGAGAUGUAGACCGUGCAGAGAGGCACGCACGCAUGGAGCGUCAGAUGAAGGCUCGUUCCUUUUAAGGAGUUUAACAGCACCAGAAAUAAUAUCAACUAAAGCUACAUCUGAUCAUUCAUCUCCUCUGGCUCUUCACAGUGGUAAAUAAAGCAAUUAAUAUGGGGAAUGUAACUCCAGAAUAGAGAAGCAGCCAUGAAGAUCAGUUGAGUACUGCAAUCAAAGAUUUGGGGGCAGUUUCCUUACUUUAAACACAAAGCUUUUCCCAAUGGCAUGAUUACAUAUAGAUGCAGAGUGUCAAGUAAUAAAAACAUGUGAAAAGAAGAAAA